GUGUGGGGAGCGGGCGUCGGAAGGACCCGUGGGGAUAGGAAAAUGGGGCCAUUUGAGCCCUGGCAAAGUUCUGCCUCCUGGGGGCAUUGCUGGCCCCCAUCCGAGUGCUUCUGGCCUUUAUCGUCCUCUUUCUCCUCUGGCCCUUUGCCUGGCUGCAAGUGGCCGGUCUUAGUGAGGAGCAGCUUCAGGAGCCAAUUACAGGAUGGAGGAAGACUGUGUGCCACAACGGGGUGCUAGGCCUGAGCCGCCUGCUGUUUUUCCUGCUGGGCUUCCUCCGGAUUCGCGUUCGCGGCCAGCGAGCCUCUCGCCUUCAAGCCCCUGUCCUUGUUGCUGCCCCACAC
rnacentral:sRNA from 1 species